CGACAUGUAUAAUUCGACAGAUUUUCUCUUCCAACUGAUGUGAUGUAGCAAGAUGAGCAACAAAAGAAGAAUCCCAAGAUAAUCACGUAAUUAUGUUAGGAGAGAUUCUCAGUUCAAUCUAAUCCUGUCUAAACAGGCUGAAAGAAAUUAGUCACUCAGAAUUAUAUAAAAGGCUCUAUUGAGGACACAGAAAGAAGAGGCCCAUCUGUAAACCAGGAAAAGGACCCUCAUCAAACUGAGCUCUGCCAACACACUGAUCUUGGACUUCCCAGCCUCCAGAAUUGGAAUGAUACAAGCUUGUUGUGCAAGCCAGAAAUCUGAAUGUAUUCUUUGACAUCUACCACUCUUUUUCACUCUCUCCUUAUGUGGAAAGUACUAUGAAUUUAUUCUCCAAUCAUCUUUUUAAUCUGGACACCUCUGGCCAUUUCUAUUGCCACAACCAUAGUUCAAUUUAUUGUCAUCUCCUAACUGAACUACUGUAAUCGUUUCCUAAUACUCACUCAGAUGAUCUUACUUUAUGUAAUAUCUACUUCACAUACGCAGCUGGAGUAAAAUGUUACAUUACAAAUCUGAUAUGAGAAAAUUACAUCUGGGAGCAUUUUAAUUUACUUUAAUAGAGAGAUUCUUUUGUUAUGCAAAUAUCCCUUCAAUGACCAAAUUGUCUUUCUAAGGGGAUGUCAUCAAGAGGGAAAAGAGCUUAAAUUUAUUGAACUAAAGAAAUAAAGCAAUUAUUCAAG
rnacentral:lncRNA from 1 species